AACGAACGCUGGCGGCAUGCCUAACACAUGCAAGUCGAGCGAGCACUUCGGUCCUUUCGGCGGACGGGGGAGUAACGCGUGGGAACGUGCCCUUUUCUUCGGCUUAGCCCUGGGAAACUGUGAGUAAUGCCGGAUGGGCCCUUUGGGGGAAAGAUUUUAUGGCGAAGGUUCGGCCCGAGUUGCAUUGGGUUGUUGGUGGGGUAAUGGCAUACCACGCCGACGAUGCAUAGCUGGUUUGAGAGGAUGGUCAGCGACACUGGGACUGAGACACGGCACAGACUCCUCCGGGAUGCAGGAGUGGGGAAUGUUAGAAAACGGCGGAAGCGAUGAUGUAGUCCUGACGGGUGAGCGAUGAAGGCCUUAAGGUUGUAAAGCUCAUUCAGCUGGGAAGAUAAUGACGGUACCUGAAGAAGAAGCCCCGGCUAACUCCGUG
rnacentral:rRNA from 1 species